UACGGGGGGAGCAAGCGUUGUUCGGAUUUACUGGGCGUAAAGGGCGCGUAGGCGGCCACCGCAAGUCGACUGUGAAAUCUCCGGGCUUAACCCGGAAAGGUCAGCCGAUACUGCGGGGCUAGAGUGCAGAAGGGGCAACUGGAAUUCCUGGUGUAACGGUGAAAUGCGCAGAUAUCAGGAGGAACACCGGUGGCGAAGGCGGGAUCUCUGGGCCGAUACUGACGCUGAGGAGCGAAAGCGUGGGGAGCGAACAGG
rnacentral:rRNA from 1 species